UGUAGCAGGAGAAUGAUGGUUCCCCAAAGACGCCUCCGCCUAAUCCUUGGGGCCUCUGAAUAUAUUAUUUUAUAGGGCAAAUGUUCUCAGCUGUGAUUAAGGUUCUUGAGAUGAUGGGAAGAUUAUACCAGACAGAGUAUCCGAAUUGGAUUAACGAAAUUACAAAUAUAUUUAUAAAUAAGAGAGAGAAAAAAAAAGAGAAGGAGAUAUUGUAAUAGCACCACAGUUCAGAAUCCGAGAGAUUUUUUAAGAUGCUGCUCUGCCCGCGUUGAAGAUGCAUGAAGGGUUCGCAGCUCAAGGAAUUCAGCUGAGGUGACCUUGAGAAGCUGGAACAUGGAAGUGCUUCCAUUCCUUUUAUUUCUCCUUUGGCUGCCAAUGGUAUGUACAGAGAAUACCCAACGACACUCACCCCCAGCAAGUCUCACCAUCACCCUAGUAGAUGGCUUCCCGGCUCGAGGGGGCACUUCAAUCAAGUAGAACCUGUGGACCUGUGAAUAGGAAGAGCAGGGGAGUCAGAGUGUCAUCAGGGGAAAUAAGUUGGCUGUCGACCAAGAGAUACAAGAGGCCGGCUUUACUCUGGCAGUCUGUCCCAGAUCCUGUGUGCAGACUUGAGGUAGAAAUCAACUUUUGCCAGCACUCAAUGGAUAUGGAAAUCACCUUUUGCCAGCAUACUGUUUAUCAGGAGUAGACUGACUUAGCUCUCAGAGGCUGAUAUAUACGUUGCAAUGUCAACUUUUUAUUUUGCAAUGAGAAAUACUGCUUACUUCUUGUUGAUUAAUGUAUUUUCUCCAUUGAGAUGAUUUGCAUAGGAAACCAACACAUUUUCAAGAACUGCUUGGUAGUCAUGAAGUCUGAAUAAAGGGGAGGAUUUUUAGUAAUAAUUGCUUCUGGUAAUCUUAUGCAUCUCUCUGCCCAGUAGAAAUACACCUGUCUCUAGAACUAGAGAGCUCAUACAUCUCAUUAUAGUAGUUGAAUAGCACUGGUAUUAUUUUCUCCUCCGACCCUAAUAUUUUUUUUCUAUUUUUAUUAUUGACCAGUCCUUUCAACUGGCAUAUUUCAAACAACAUCUGCUUGUGAUAUUAAGAUGCACUCCCUUCCCAAG